UACGUAGGGGGCAAGCGUUGUCCGGAAUCAUUGGGCGUAAAGAGCGUGUAGGCGGCCAGAUAAGUCCGCUGUGAAAUCUCGAGGCUCAACUUCGAGCUGUCGGUGGAAACUGGCUGGCUAGAGUCCGGAAGAGGAGAAUGGAAUUCCUGGUGUAGCGGUGAAAUGCGCAGAUAUCAGGAAGAACACCCGUGGCGAAGGCGGUUCUCUGGGACGGUACUGACGCUGAGACGCGAAAGCGUGGGGAGCGAACAGG
rnacentral:rRNA from 1 species